rnacentral:rRNA from 1 species
UGGGGAAUAUUGGACAAUGGGCGCAAGCCUGAUCCAGCCAUGCCGCGUGAGUGAUGAAGGCCCUAGGGUUGUAAAGCUCUUUCACCGGUGAAGAUAAUGACGGUAACCGGAGAAGAAGCCCCGGCUAACUUCGUGCCAGCAGCCGCGGUAAUACGAAGGGGGCUAGCGUUGUUCGGAUUUACUGGGCGUAAAGCGCACGUAGGCGGACUAUUAAGUCAGGGGUGAAAUCCCGGGGCUCAACCCCGGAACUGCCUUUGAUACUGGUAGACUUGAGUUCGAGAGAGGUGAGUGGAAUUCCGAGUGUAGAGGUGAAAUUCGUAGAUAUUCGGAGGAACACCAGUGGCGAAGGCGGCUCACUGGCUCGAUACUGACGCUGAGGUGCGAAAGCGUGGGGAGCAAACAGG